GACCUACUCUCUCCGUUCUAAAUUAUUUGUCUAGAUACGGAGAUAUCUAGCACUAAAAUGAGUCUAGAUACAUUCGUAUCUAGAUAAAUCCAAAACAAGUAAUUCAGAACGGAGGGAGUAGCUU
rfam:Triticum urartu cultivar G1812 contig323052, whole genome shotgun sequence.